AUGAGCUUAUCUGCCACUGGGAUCGUUACUGCCAUCAAUGAAUGUGUCACUUUGUUUCAGUGGGCGAAAUCUGCCAUUUCAUCUCUGCACUCCCGGUGGAGUGGCCCCCAAGAGCAAAGUCUUGAGGAUCAUGUCUUGCAGCUGGAGAGUGGCCUUCAAAGUCUGAGGGAUACUCUACCUGCAAUGUACGACCUCAUUGAUAAAGCAGAGUGGAGAAGCCACGAACAUGGUGUGGCCAAACUCCUUCCUAAUCUCAAUGAUGCAAUGACUGAGGCUGAGGACCUUCUUGAUGAGUUCACAUGGUACGAGAAGAAGGUGCAAGUGGAAGGCAAUGCAAGCCAAUCUCCUUUCACGGAGUUCUUCGAUACCGUCAUCCAAGGCAACUUCAACAAACUGAGUGAUGUCCAAUCAAGAUUGAAUCUUCUAUCAAGUCAUCUGGAGAAUAUGGGGAUUUGUGGAGUUACACAACGCUUUGACAAAUUAGUCAGGCCGGAGACCACCUCUUUGCCAAAUGAAACCAAAAUUUUUGGUCGUGAUAAGGAGCUGGAGCAGCUAUUAGGAUAUGUUCCUGCACCUACAAAUCCAAAACGCAAGAGAGCAACUAGUUCAAUCAAUGGAUCAACAAGCAACCAAGUUAGUAAUGAUUCAAGAAUGUUGAUUCUUCCUGUUCUACCAAUAGUUGGACUUGGGGGUGUUGGAAAGACCACUUUAGUCCAAUUGUUCUGCAGCCAUCAACGAGUGUUGGCUUUUUAUGAGCUGAUAAUUUGGAUAUAUGUCUCUGAUGACUUUGAUGUGAAGAGGUUGACUAAAGAGGCUAUACAAUCUUGUACUGGAAACGAGGCGACAAGUGAUAAUCUGGAUUUUCUUCAGCAUGCUCUUUCUAAGCAUCUGAAAAAUAAAAAAUUCUUGAUAGUCCUUGAUGACAUCUGGGAUGAUGCCUUGAAGGGAAAUGGGCAGUCUUGGAAGAGCUUUUGUGCACCUUUUAGAAAUGUCCAAGAGGGAAGUAUGAUGUUGGUCACUACCAGAUGUCAAAAGGUAACCAAGGGGGUGCGCACAUUGGAGCCCAUUCUGUUAGAAGGUCUAAAUGAAUAUAUCUUUUGGAUUUUCUUUAAAUCGUGCGCAUUUGGAUCUGGGAGUUCUAACAAUUAUCCUGAGUUAGAGUGCAUUGGUAGAAGAAUACUUCCUAAACUAAAGGGUUCUCCUUUGGCUGCUAAAACACUGGGACGCAUGUUAAGCAUGGACCUUAAAGCAUUGCAUUGGAAUUUUAUACUUGAGAGUGAAUUGUGGGAGUUGAGACAAGAGGAUACGGACAUUUUGCCUGCCCUUCGGUUGAGCUACAUGUAUUUACCAUUCUAUUUGAAGCAAUGCUUUGCAUUCUGUGCCGUGUACCCAAAAGAUUAUAUUUUUCAGAAGGAUUGCUUAGCUAAAUUUUGGGUGGCAGAAGGCUUUGUGGAAUCUAAUGGUGGUAUUCCAGUUGAACAUAUUGCAUGUCAGUAUUUUGAAGACCUUGUUUUUGAUGCCAAGAAAUGCAUGCUAGAAAGCUUACCCGAUGAAUUUUGGAAAGGAAAAGUAAUUAGGUUAAUGAAGAACCUAAACCAAUUUCGUGGAGACUUGGAGAUAACUAAUGUUCACAUGCUCAGUAAGGAGAAUGCAGCGGAAGCUGUACUGAAGAACAAGAAAUAUCUUGAUGAGUUGAUACUGAAUAUGCAGUCUCGGAUCAUCCAGAACAAUGAGUUAGAAGUGGCUCAACUACUGCAACCUCCUAUCAGUCUCAAGUCUCUAUCCUUCCUGAAUUAUGAGUGUGUCUCGCUACCAACCUGGUUUUUUCAGCCCCAGAACUUACCAAGUUUUGUGUCCCUGACAGACAUAACCAUUGAUGGGUGCGAGAAUAUAUCAAGUCUUGAGCAUUUUCUGCAUCCAGAUUAUGUACCAGCCAUCAAGAAAAUAAGAGUUGAAGAUUGCGAGAUGUUAGCAUCAGUACCAACUGACAAUUUUGGAGGUUUUCAUUUCCUUGAAGAACUGCAUGUGGCCCGGUGUCCAAAUAGCUGCUCCCAAAGAUUGGUAUCGCCGUCCCUUAAGAAGCUCUAUCUCCAUGGUUCUGGUCUCUUUCGCAAUAUUGACUGCUGCUCCCUCACCUUCUUUUAUUUAGUAUGUGACUUUGUCACGUCCAUCCAACUAGAAAUGUGGAGUCUUCCAGCCCUACGGGAGUUGCACAUUAGGUGUGGAUCUCUUGCAUCUAUUGUGGGCUCCACUGACCUUUCCACAGCGUUCUCGUGCCUUGGUGUCCUAAAAAUUUCGCACUGUAAUAAAUUGUCAACCCUUGACGACCUCCUGACACAAGAAUAUCUACCUGCUAUUGAGAAAAUUGACGUUGAAUGUUGUCCUGAGUUACUGUCCCUGCCAGGUGAAAGCCUCACAUCCCUCACCUCGCUGAGCAUUGCUGGGUGCAAAGGUAUAACAUCCAUCGCAGGCGACAUUUGGCGCUGUAAUCUUGCUUCACUUGAGGAAUUGGCGAUUCAGGAUUGUCCAGACCUAGUUUCAAUUGGUGGAGCAAAGGCAGUUGCAGAAAUAAAGCAGGUGACGAUACACAUGUGCCCGAAAUGUAAGGAAGCGAAUCAGAUCAAUAUAAGAUCCCGACAAAGGUAUUUGUGCUAA
rnacentral:rRNA from 1 species